rnacentral:lncRNA from 1 species
CGGGUUGAUUCGAUUCUGUUGAAUUCCAUUCCAUUCCAUUCCAUUCCAUUCCAUUCCAUUCCAUUCCAUUCCAUUCCACUCUGGUUGAUUCCAUUCCUUUUCAUUCCAUUCCAUUCCAUUCCAUUCGGGUAGAUUCCAUUCCAUUCCAUUCCAUUCCAUUCCAUUCCAUUCCAUUCCAUUCCAAUCCAUUCCAUUCCAAUCCAUUCCAUUCCAUCCCAUUCCAUUCCAUUCCAUUCCAUUCCAUUCCAUUCCAUUCCAUUCCAUAUCAUUCCACUCGGGUUGAUUCCAUUCCAUUCCAUUUCAUUCCAUUCCAUUCCGUUCUACUCAGGUUGAUUAAAUUCCAUUCCAUUCCAUUCCAUUCCAAUAAAUUCCAUUCAAUUCCAUUCCAUUCCACUCGUGUUGAUGCAAUUCCAUUCCAUUCCAUUCCAUUCCAUUCCAUUCCAUUCCUUUCCUUUAAAUUCCAUUCAGGUUGAUUCCAUUCCAUUCGAAUCCAUUCCAUUGCACUCCAUUCCAUUCCCUUUCGUUCCACUCAGGUUGAUUCCAUUCCAUUCCAUUCCAUUUCAUUCCAUUCCACUCGGGUUGUUUCCAUUCCAUUCCUUUCCCUUACAUUCCUUUAAGUUUCAUUCCAUUCCAUUCCAUUCCACUCGGGUUGAUUCCAUUCCCUUCUAUCCCAUUUCAUUCCAUUCCAUUCCAUGCCAUUCCAUUCCUUUCCAUUCCACUCGGUUUGAUUCUAUUCCAUUCCAUACCAUUCCAUUCCAUUCCAUUCCAUUCCAUUCCAUUCCAUUCCAUUCCAUUCCAUUGCAUUCCGUUCCGUUCCAUUCCACACGGGUUGAUUCCAUUCCAUUCCAUUCAAUUC